rnacentral:lncRNA from 1 species
CUCUCUCCCCGAGCGGCCGCCAGGAUGUGCCCCCGGCCCCGUCGUCGCCGCGCCCGCGCCCCUCGCCCCAGUACGUCUUUUUUCGUUUCCUAAAUUUCUUAUUUUUGUCCUUGCAAGUGGUCCUGUCUGGUGUGAACCGUCAGCACAGAUGGCCUCCUGGAGCUUCCCCGAGUCGUUCGCUGGGGGAAGCGGGCGGUGAGCGGCCAGCCCGGGCGCUCCGCAGGCCGCGAGCUCCCGGCAGGGCUGGUGGCGGGGGUCCGCCUGGGGGAGGAAUCCCCGCCUGCUCCAUCGGACCCGGCCUGGCGCGGCUCGCGGCGCUCGGCGGGCUCCCUUCCAUUCUAGAAUCUUCCCGCUUGCUUCCCAGCCCGCGUUCUUCCGCCUGCCUUUAAUUGUGUGUGGACGUGGGGAGGAUCUUCUAAGUCCCUCCAACGAAGGCAAGUGUGAGACUCUGGCCCUUUAUUUGUAAGAAGCAAGCCUUCAGAUUGCAGAAGUGUCGCGCGGGUCGCCGUGCGUUGCGCGAGUGGGAAGAUGGAGGAGGCCGGCACGCUGCUUUCGUGGACGCAAGUGAACCGGGCGUGAAGGCAGGGUGCGAGCUCUGCCCUUGGCCCAGCCCUGCGUGGGCGCCGUCCCAGAUUCCGGGCGGUGCGGGGUGCAGAGAUCUGGAGAGACUUGCGGGCUCCCCAGCGCAGGCUGCUCUGGGAUUUCGUUGGAAGAUCCGGCAGAGCCUUGGAGGAGAGGGCCCGGGAGGCUGUGUGUGCAGCGGAAACUUGUACGAAUGCCCCCACAGCGGAAAUGGUGCGCACGAGUAAUUUCUGCGGUGCACCCUUUUAAAAAUUGACAAGUGAACAAGAUCAAUUUUUUAAGAAAGCAAAGGUAGAAAACAAAAGGCGUGCGACUUCUUGACUGGCUUGUUCCCGCCUUUCUUCCUUCUCUAUACUCAGAUCAGAAACUUUUCUUUAAUUGCUCUUAUUCAGUGCGACAACUUUUAAUAAAAGCAUUUGCAUUUUAAGCCUGAGUUGCAACCAUAGAUUUAUUGCGAAGUGACAACGUGUCUAUGGAAUAUUUUCGCAGAUGAGACAGGACAUGCGCUCUAGUCGUGCCCAGAUUAAAGCGACGCUGGGCCAUGUGCCUGUGUAGUGCAGACUCGGAGGGGCACACACAUACUCGUCACCACAUGACCACUGUCUAUUAAUAUUGUCAUACCUAAACACUCGCAAAAACAAAAGUUGCUUUUCUUCCCUGUAAUUAAAUCUAAUUUGUUAAUUGUC